AGGGAAUCUUCCACAAUGGACGCAAGUCUGAUGGAGCAACGCCGCGUGAGUGAAGAAGGUUUUCGGAUCGUAAAGCUCUGUUGUUGGUGAAGAAGGAUAGAGGUAGUAACUGGCCUUUAUUUGACGGUAAUCAACCAGAAAGUCACGGCUAACUACGUGCCAGCAGCCGCGGUAAUACGUAGGUGGCAAGCGUUGUCCGGAUUUAUUGGGCGUAAAGCGAGCGCAGGCGGAAGAAUAAGUCUGAUGUGAAAGCCCUCGGCUUAACCGAGGAAUUGCAUCGGAAACUGUUUUCUUGAGUGCAGAAGAGGAGAGUAGAACUCCAUGUGUAGCGGUGGAAUGCGUAGAUAUAUGGAAGAAUACCAGUGGCGAAGGCGGCUCUCUGGUCUGCAACUGACGCUGAGGCUCGAAAGCAUGGGUAGCGAACAGGAUUAGAUACCCUGGUAGUCCAUGCCGUAAACGAUGAGUGCUAAGUGUUGGGAGGCUUCCGCCUCUCAGUGCUGCAGCUAACGCAUUAAGCACUCCGCCUGGGGGAGUACGACCGCAAGGUUGAAAC
rnacentral:rRNA from 1 species